UACGUAGGGGCCUAGCGUUGUCCGGAUUUAUUGGGCGUAAAGAGCGCGCAGGCGGUCGUUCAAGUCGAGUGUGAAAGCCCCCGGCUCAACUGGGGAGGGUCAUUCGAUACUGAUCGACUGGAAGGCAGGAGAGGGAAGCGGAAUUCCCGGUGUAGUGGUGAAAUGCGUAGAUAUCGGGAGGAACACCAGUGGCGAAGGCGGCUUCCUGGCCUGUUCUUGACGCUGAGGCGCGAAAGCUAGGGGAGCAAACGGG
rnacentral:rRNA from 1 species